UGGGGAAUAUUGCACAAUGGGCGAAAGCCUGAUGCAGCAACGCCGCGUGAGGGACGACGGCCUUCGGGUUGUAAACCUCUUUUAGCAAGGAAGAAGCGAAACGUGACGGUACUUGCAGAAAAAGCGCCGGCUAACUACGUGCCAGCAGGCCGCGGUAAUACGUAGGGCGCAAGCGGUUAUCCGGAAUUAUUGGGCGUAAAGAGCUCGUAGGCGGUUUGUCGCGUCUGCUGUGAAAACCCGAGGCUCAACCUCGGGCCUGCAGUGGGUACGGGCAGACUAGAGUGCGGUAGGGGAGAUCGGAACUCCUGGUGUAGCGGUGGAAUGCGCAGAUAUCAGGAAGAACACCGAUGGCGAAGGCAGAUCUCUGGGCCGUAACUGACGCUGAGGAGCGAAAAGGGUGGGG
rnacentral:rRNA from 1 species